AUACGGAAUCCUUUCGGGGAGGAAGCCAGUAGACUGAGCGGCGGACGGGUGAGUAACGCGUAGGUGACCUACCCCUCAGAGGGGGAUAACUGGGGGAAACCUCAGCUAAUACCCCAUACGUUCCUACCUAUAAGCAGGUAGGAAGAAAGGGAGCAAUAGCUCUGCUGAGGGAGGGGCCUGCGACCCAUCAGGUAGUUGGUGAGGUAACGGCUCACCAAGCCUACGACGGGUAGCCGGUCUGAGAGGAUGGCCGGCCACAAGGGCACUGAGACACGGGCCCUACUCCUACGGGAGGCAGCAGUGGGGGAUUUUGGACAAUGGGCGAAAGCCUGAUCCAGCGACGCCACGUGCGGGACGAAGCCCUUCGGGGUGUAAACCGCUGUGGUGGGAGACGAAUAAGGUGAGGAGUGGAAAGCCUCACUGAUGACGGUAUCCCACUAGAAAGCCCCGGCUAACUACGUGCCAGCAGCCGCGGUAAUACGUAGGGGGCGAGCGUUACCCGGAUUUACUGGGCGUAAAGGGGGCGUAGGCGGCCGUGAAAGUCCGGUGUGAAAACUCACGGCUCAACCGUGGGACUGCGCUGGAAACUACACGGCUUGAGGACGGUAGAGGGAGACGGAACUGCUGGUGUAGGGGUGAAAUCCGUAGAUAUCAGCAGGAACGCCGGUGGAGAAGUCGGUCUCCUGGGGCCGUUCCUGACGCUGAGGCCCGAAAGCUAGGGGAGCAAACCGGAUUAGAUACCCGGGUAGUCCUAGCCGUAAACGAUGCCCACUAGGUGUGGGGGAGUAAUUCCUCCGUGCUGAAGCUAACGCGAUAAGUGGGCCGCCUGGGGAGUAUGCCCGCAAGGGUGAAACUCAAAGGAAUUGACGGGACCCCGCACAAGCGGUGGAGCGUGUGGUUUAAUUGGACGCUAAG
rnacentral:rRNA from 1 species